rnacentral:rRNA from 1 species
ACUGUAUGUCUUGAAUUAUUGUGAAGUGGUUAGAAUAUGUAGUGUAGCGGUGAAAUGCUUAGAGAUUACAUAGAAUACCGAUUGCGAAGGCAGAUCACUAACAAUAUAUUGACGCUGAUGGACGAAAGCGUAGGUAGCGAACAGGAUUAGAUACCCUGGUAGUCUACGCCGUAAACGAUGGAUACUAGUUGUUUGGUUUUCGGACUGAGUGACUAAGCGAAAGUGAUAAGUAUCCCACCUGGGGGGUACGUUCGCAAGAAUGAAACUCAAAGGAAUUGACGGGGGCCCGCACAAGCGGUGGAGCAUGUGGUUUAAUUCGAUGAUACGCGGGGAACCUUACCAGGGCUUAAAUGUAGAUUGACAGGACUAGAGAUAGUUUUUUCUUCGGACAAUUUACAAGGUGCUGCAUGGUUGUCGUCAGCUCGUGCCGUGAGGUGUCAGGUUAAGUCCUAUAACGAGCGCAACCCCUGUGGUUAGUUGCCAGCGAGUAGUGUCGGGAACUCUAGCCAGACUGCCGGUGCAAACCGUGAGGAAGGUGGGGAUGACGUCAAAUCAUCACGGCCCUUACGUCCUGGGCCACACACGUGCUACAAUGGUAGGGACAGAGAGCAGCCACUGGGCGACCAGGAGCGAAUCUAUAAACCCUAUCUCAGUUCGGAUUGGAGUCUGCAACUCGACUCCAUGAAGCUGGAAUCGCUAGUAAUC